rnacentral:lncRNA from 1 species
GCAGACAGCCUCAGCGCCAGGGCGCGCGGCAGACGGCUCCCUCCCCCCAACCCAAACACACUGACACCGGCGCUCCACGCGUUAUAUAACCUCGCCGCCGCCCCCGGUCCAGGCGGGCGCCCCCUCCCCACGCCGCGCGGCCCGGGCGGGGAGGGGCGAGGGGAAGGAGCGAGAGUUGCGCAGACAGCAGGCGCCGGGCCGGGGCAGCCCAGACACAGACGUUAGAUCAUGGAGUUUAGGACUUGGGCUGCCAUG